ensembl:lncRNA
CGGUCUGAGCCGCUUGGACUGUCUGCGCUAGUCCUCAUGCAAGUAAACGUGGCUGCUUUCCUGAAGCAGCUUGAGAUCAGAUGACGAUGAUGAUAGUGAUGAUUUCCAAGAGGAGGACGGUUCAGUCCUCCACAACACAGGUUCAGGGGGGCAGUCGAGAGUUUGGUUGAAGAUUGUCAGUCGACAUCUGUCGCCUUACAGAAUCCUCGAUGUUGUUGUAAAGAGGAAACGCCCGUCAGUAAAGACACUCUCUGCCAAAAAACAGUAUACAGUAUCAGUGGAUUGGCCAUGCCGGCUCAUAUGCAUUUUGUCCUGGAAUAAACCUUGGUGAGCCAUGCAGGUAAAAUCUACCGGAGGAACACACUGGAUGUCUACACAAACACAGACUAACACACACAGAAUCCGUUCAGUUAUUACUUUAUUACAUCGAGGACACACAACCAGAGGAGAGCAAAGCAUGACCAUUGUGCCCUGGAAUUAAAUACAGGCGAUUCCUCAAAACGUGUUCUUCUUUCCCCUCACUUGCUCAGCGGCUGCUGUUGAACCCGAGGAACUGUUUUGUACGCAGCGUUUGCACUCUGCUCGCCUCCUCGUUCCUCCUCCACCUUCUUCCCUUCAGAGGGGUUAUCUUGGGAGUUGACCAUAAGACGGGUCAGCUUGCAGGAGGAUUAUGUGAGCUGCACUCUUAAACGAGGCCUGCAGCUUUCCUGCCUGUUCCUCCCUGACCGUCUGUUUCCACGGGAUCAUCAGCAAACCGGACAAUUUGAUCCACGUUUCAUGAUUGGUGAAGUAAAGCUUUCUAGUAAUGGGACUAGUGAUGUGAGUAAUUCUUCCAAUUCUGAUUGACAGCCGGAAGACUACUUGUAACAUUUACAUAUUGUGUGAGUGACAUCAUUCGGCGACUUAAUACCGAUUAGAAAGGCCUCAGGGCCUCAAAUGAAAUGGACCCUGCUUGCAUCAGCCAGCACCGGGUUUCCUGUAUGAGUAAACGUUUUCUACCCGGCACAGGGACAACUAUGGACGCGCUGGUGUUCACGCUCGUACAAAUACUCAGGGAUGCAAGUGUUGCUAGUGUGCGGAUCAGCAGGUAGCAGGUCGGUGACGGGUCUCUGAUCCAUCGGGAUGAUCCUGUGUGAGGCGCCGGGGGGGUAGAUGUAGAAUCACACCCAACAGAAAUAUCACACAGAGAAAACAGUAUCAACCCUGCCCUUGUUUUCCAUUCCAUGUGUUUGUGUUGCCUCCUGAAACCCAAUGAAGACCCAAAUACAUUUGACUUUCUGUCAAUUAUGUUACGAUCAUUCCUCCCAACACUUGAGCUCUCCUCUCCCCCCUUUCCUUCGCUCAUCUCAUCCGUAAGGAGGACAGAGCAACGCUACAUCAUCUCCGACUCCUCCCACAUCUGUCACAUGUCUCAAAGGAGCUCCUCCAACAAGGUGACGGUUUGAAGGAGUCUCCGGGUAACAUAUGGAGAGAAGUUUCCACAGAGAAACGCCCGUCAUUAGGACUUUAACCAGAAGCCCCUCACUGAUGACCCCGCUCUGUGUGAGUGUGUGUGUGCGUGCUUGUGUGUGUGCGUGUGUGUGUGUGUGCGUGUCUGCGGGAGGGACCUAGUUGUCGGAUGACACCCUGCUGUAUCUCGACACCCUCAUACAUCACUCUACAACAACUCACACACACUUUUUCCUCAGCACAUACGCAAAAAAGCAGCAUUCUUCCCCCAUCCUGGCACACACACACACACACACACGGGUAGAGGCCGCGCCGAAAGUCAGGUAUCGUGUGGUUUAAUUAAUUACCGUCUGAAAGUGACCAAGGUCAGAGCGUCGCUCGGCUGGAGAGCUUUGCAGAGGUCACGACCUCUCCACCCGACUCCUCCCAAGCUGUCAGCUGUCUGGAAGGUGAAGAGAAAGCACCUUAAACUCUUAGUUCACACAGAGCCGACUGUCCAAACACCUCGUGUUCCUCCCAGAUUCUACCAUGAAAGCGUUGGGUUCUACAUCACAAAGGAAAUAUAAAGGGAUCAAAAGCACCUGCUGUCUCUCUCUCAGGUGAUUGAUGGUUUAAGCUGCUUUAUUGUAAUGUUGUUAAAGUUGAACCUUUGUACUGAUUCAGUUUAAUAAAAGCUGGUAAAACUAAAUAUACGAAUCUAGAUAAUGAAAAUGAAAUGAAACUGAUAAUGAAUUUGGGUGUGGAUUAGAUUGUGAGUGACGCUUGGAUGGAUUAUCAAAAGCAAAGUCAAAGACGGAGAUACUAAAGCCAAAUAAGAGAUAAUAAAUGUCCCUUCAAACACAUUUAGGGACCCUUCAACCCAUUUCAUUAAUUAUGUUUCAAAAACUAAUUAGGUGAAGCUGGAGGAUUUGAUCAAACACAGUCGAUUGUAAAAAAUGAAAAAUGUACAGAUGGAAAUGUCGAGCAGUGAGUUAAAUGAAUGAAAAAAAAAAAACAUUGCCAGAGUUUAAUCUCCGCUGCUGUUGACAACAUUGUUGUUGUGUUUUAUUUGUCAUACGUGUAAUCUGUCUAUUGUCGAAGGCUCCAACUGAAACAGGUGCAGACUAAAGUGCAAAACAUUUCAUUAGAAAAGUCUUCUGUCUAAAAUAACACCAGUGCAUAACUCCUGUCCUGUGAAUAGUUCAUGCUAACAGGUGUUAGCCUGCUAACCACGAACACCCAUCGCUGGUGCUUCCAGCACAUACACACACAUCCGAGACUCUCAUUUAAACCAAAAUACUAUAUUCUCUGCAACUGAAAAAUGUGUUUAUUGUAAGAAGUUUAUCCUGUACUUUAUCACCAUAACAAUAUUUUAUUAUUACUCUAGAUGGGAAGAAAAAGUAAAUAGCACUUCAGAUCAGUGGACUAACAUAUUGGAUGUGACAUUCUCGUGUUUAAAUAAAGUAGACACAGAUGGAGGAACAGUGAGAGGGAGUAAGUCGUGAGAUCGCACAGAGAUAAUGAGAGAGAGACAGAGACGAGACUCAAAAUCACAGGUUCUUAAGUACAACGACGUCCCGCUACCCGCCGAGCCAACCAGAACAUUACAGAUGUUUCUCUGUCGGAGGAGCCGAUGCCCCGGGAGUUUAAAUGAAGCCGACCUCAGAGGAUCUUGUGCGUCUGUCGUGAGGUUUUUACAGAAAUCUAAUUAUUAUCUUCAAUUUAACAAGGUCACGGCACUAUUCCUGGGUAUGAAAGGGUUUUAUCAGUCACACAUUGUGCGACGUGGUGCUCAAGUCAGUGGGGUUUCUUAUUGUGUUUUACCGCCUUUUCAAGCUCAAGUGUUUCAUCUUUGUGCCUUUAGAUGAGCACAUCUAAAACCAUGAACACGUCAAAACAAUCACCAACGUUUGUUUGAUCGUCCCCUCAUAUGUAUUUUUUAUAAGACUAAUAAUAGUACCUCUUGCUGAAGCGACAUUUAAAAAAAAGGAAAAACAGGAAAAGCUUUUAAAAACAUAAAAAACAUGUUUCUCUAACAGAUUUUUCACAUUUCCCAGGAGUCAGAGAGGGUUGUGCGGCCCGAGGGUUCUCCUCUGGUCCGAUUGCGCGUGGACCGGGGGCCUUUCCUCCCGGCUCGCGUGGCGCUGGUGGAGCAGGCUGAGGUCUGACGUUGCUUGUCAGAGUUGUUGUGUGCGAAGAUGAUUGGAAAUAAAGGACCUGGCGACCCUCAAGUUUAUGAUUCGGUCACAAUCCUCUGUUUUGUACGAUUUACCACCUAAAUAUGGUUUAAAGAAACAGGCAUUCUGAAAAGCAGAAUUCAUGACACACUUCACCCACCUGUGUGUUUGAUAAUGUGCUGGCAACACUACCAACAUUUUAACUUGCUGCCGGCGUCCGUUUGACUUUUUUUGGGCUGCGCCGGUGACCUUCUGCAGACCUUGUUAGUGAGGAGAGUGCUGCUCCAUGCUGAUAGCUUUUUAAACCCCGACUUGCUGCUGCAGGAUGAAAGCUUUGUAAUCCUCAAAGAACACACACUCACAAAUGACUCGUGUUGAUUAAACAACCACAAACACACUGUUUUUUUGUUUUUAGCAUGUGUCACAAUCACAAAAUGGAAAAGGGUUUGAUAUGCUUGGUGGCAGCAAAUAGUAUGAAUGGACUGGUAGAUGGAUGGACAGGUAGGUAACUAAGUGGGUAGGUAGCCAGGUAGGGAGAUUGAUGGAUGGAUGGAUUGGACAGGUAGGUAACUAAGUGGGUAGGUAGCCAGGUAGGGAGAUUGAUGGAUGGAUGGACAGGUAGGUAGCUGGGAAUUGGUAGCCAGGUAGGUGUUUGGGUGGAUGGAUCAAACAAAGAAGUUUAAAAUGUGCUUUUUUAAACUCAAGGACAAUGCUCACCUUGGGUGGGCUGAACAUAUGAAAAAACAGUGAUGCGGAGGGCCCCGAGCCCCUCCGGGGUCAGUGUCGUCCUGAAAGAACACCAGCUGCUCACGCAGAUGGGUUUGGAGCACGCUGAUAAAAACAGUGUUAGAUCCAGAACAGAUAGUCAGGCAAGGAGGCCGAUAGAAGUUAAAAACGAAUGAAAUGAGAAAAAGCCCUGUUGAUGAUGGUGUGAUCGCGUUGGAUGAGUCCUGCUGCCUCCUCGUCAGUCACAUCAACAGAAGUAUUGGACAGUUUUAACAUUUGAAACAUUUUUCAGUUUUUUAUUAUCCAGGCAUUUCGUUUGAAACCUACAAAUGUCAAACAUUCGGUGGUGCCAGAAGUAAAGUCAGGGGAUCACCAAAGCCAGUCGUGGGGAUCUUCUGGGGACCGUGAAUGUUUGCACAAAAUGUGAGCCAAGUUACGGUUCUCCUCACGGUGAGUGAAAACUCAACUGCUUUGAGGCACCGAAGGAAAAUCUCCCGAAUCACCACAGUUUAACGUUUAGUCCUCUGGAGACCAACAAUGUCUAUGGAAAAUGUGACUGCUGCCAGUUGUUGUUCUGGGUUAAGAUGUUAAAACAACAUCGCCAUCCGUAAGCCGUGCCACAACAAACGAAAUGCUGCAAAACAACGAGAAGAUCACAUCGAGUCAGUGUGAAAGAACAAGUAGGAAUUUUCCAGCUCCUCUCUCUCUUUUCCUCUUGUUCGUCGUGGUCGUAAUGAGGACUGCUGGAUCUCGCUGGAAGGGGGAUUAUGUCUGGUUUCACCUAUGAGGGAGUUGAAAGGCAUCGCCCCAGGUUGGUCGAAUAAUGACUGAUGUUGGGUUAACACUCUGUUGUCAGGUUUCAAUCGGUUGCCUCAUUAUCUGAGUCGCUGUCAAGCAGCACGCUCAGCUGGGUAUUAAUGUGAACCAAAUGAGACGGAACAAUAACCAGGUACAGCGUGGUGGCAUUUAAGGCUUUGCAAGAUCACUUAAAGACGAUUCGUUUGAUUUGAAUUGUAACAGGGCAACAACCUCUGUUUGUGAAAAAGGGAAGUUAAUAAUGUCUCGUGUCCACAAGUGUCUUAAACCUGCAUUCCCUCUGCUGAACAGCAAAAAGACGUUUGGUUUUAUGGAAGUCAAAGAGGAAAGGACCCUCACUUGGUUUAUUGUUUAUGGUGUCAAUCUCUUCUUCGAGGCUUCUUCAAUGCAGCACAAUGUUUAUUUCGUAAAAUAUGUUCAAUUUAGAGUCAAACAGACCAUAAAGAAGUUUAUACUAUAAGCCGGCCUCACUAGGAUCGUCAUACUGAGGCUUUAAAACAACAGUCCGAGAAACCAAUGGGUCACGACACAAUGACCAUUUGUUUCAUUCAGUAUUUGGGUCUAAUCAAAAUCAAAUAAUGCAAACAACAAACUUUUAUGGAGAAAAAAGGAAUAAAAAUCUACUCCAAAGCCAGAUCAUAGAUUGUAUUUAAGUGAAGUCAGAUUUUGAUGAAUGAUCGAUGAAUGUUAAUUGGACCAUAGGAUGUCCAGUUUUAGUCUCUUUCUGAGGUUCAAGUACUUUGAUAUGAUGGUUUUUCUUUAAUCUGUCGCUGCCAGGCAGCACAAGCGACUUUGACAUUCUGCACUGUGAGACAUUUUCUUUUGAGUUUCAAACCAGUAUCAACGGAUACAAAAGGAAACCAUUUCUAUGAGUGGAGACGUCUUAGCGUGUUUCUCAUUUGGGUAAUACUCCUCUCACACAAAUCCUCCCACGCAGUUCUAAACUGACCUCCAGUGACUCUGAAGCCGAAGAUGAGAUAAACCUCUCAAUGGAACUCCUUCCUCCCUCUGUCCUCUUCGAGAGGGCUCCGGGGCGCAGAAGACAAACAGGAACACCGUCGUCCCCCGGGACGGACGAUAAGGUCACCGCGGAAGCGUGUCGUUAUACGCACGCGUGUGUGUGCGGGUAUAAGACAUGUAUGUAUCCGUGUGUGUGAGGUCAGCGUGAAGCUGAGAGGUCGGAGUGAAGGGAGGAAGGAGAUAAGCGAGCAGAUAAAGUGUGCGUACGACUUGAGGUCGUGUCCGUCUCAGUUGGUUGGUUUCUUUUACCGUUGUAAUGUCAAAGUUUCAAGGGUAAGUGUAGACCGAGCGUUGAUGGAGUGCACAUCGGCCUGCACUGCUCCCGUUGUGACGGGUAUUUCUAAUUAACGCCGGUCCAACGCUGCACAAAUGUGGCUGACGGGGCAGCUCGCAGCGAUCCGCGCCCUUCGGAGCAACGCGUCUGUCAAUGCACACGAGCCGCUGACCUUUUGUUUACAGAGCCAUCGCUCUCAACGCGACCGCGAAUAACAGGCGGCUGGCGACCCCGAUGGGUUUUUAAUCCACCUGCAUGUUAUCAGUUCGCCGCAGAACUAUUUCUGUUUGUUUAUGACAUUAUAGCCGCGAGUAUCAAAUCAUAAUUGGACAUAUUGUUUGGAUCCAAGCCGGACUCCUGAUGUAUUCUAUUAUGUCAAAUAAGCCGUUUCUCUUUAGUAGACAGCGAUAAUUGAAAAUAUAGGUUUCAGGUUCUUUCGCGCUACAACAGUUGACUGUUAAUGUGUUUAUUACUCGCUAACGUUUUACUACGAAACAAUGUGGAAGCUUAAAUAAAUGACUUAUUUCACCGUUGAAUGAAAUGAAUUAUGUUAAGAAAAUGUCGACCCUGACACCUAAAAGUUUAGUUUACAUUCUUUGAUUUCUAGCGUAGCACCAAAGACAGUAGAUUGAUACCAAAGACACAUAUUGAUAAUUUGAUCGGCUUUUAAAGUUUCUUGUGUCACCAAUUCCUGUACAUGAUAUUGAAACCCAUUCAUUUCCGUGCGUAUGAACCGCUUUAACAGUUUUUGAGAAUAAGGUCCUAUUCCUAUUUCUGGGUCCUAAGUAGAAUCCAGGAAAAGCCAAACUCUUGCAUAUUGUUUAUACGGGGAACGUGCCUGCAGGCUUUCACAGAGGCAGCGUUCUGACUGUUUGACUGCGUAGUCGGACUUGAGAGAACAAGAAGGGAGUGAAUGGAAAAUGCAGGAGGCUGUUUGUGCUUUCGCAUUGGCUCAGUUCCCCUCAUAUAUACAUCGAUAUCACACGGCCUUCACCUCGGCUGUGAGAGACAAAGGUCACUGCAUGCGGGGAGAGAGAGAGAGAGAGAGAGAGAGAACAGUUUUUACAGGUUUGCCUUGAGUGAUGUUAUGCGGUUUCUUCACGUCGGACCAGUUGUUGGAAAAUGCGUAUUACUGAAAGUGUCCUAAAUAAAUCAGCUGUUCUAACCGGGGGAAACUAUUUUUUGAGGGAGCGAAAAAGAGGGGAAAAGGUGUGAGGAAGCACAGUGUGUGUGGGUAGUGAACAAGGGGAAACAUACUCAGCCUAUCCUCUCCGCCUCCGUAUUACCUAGUUUAAAGGUCAAACGCUUUGAGGUUUGCUUUGAAAUGCGUUUGAAGCUCCACCUUGUGGCAGCUGUCAGAGGAUUUAUAACGGAAGCCUGAAGACCAGCAGGUCCUGGAGCUCCGCUCACGUCCCAAUAAAUCCCAAAAUAAAACUGCUGUUUGGCUGCUGAAACGCCGUUCACAUCCACCAGUGGUCAUUGGACAAAGUACAGCACAAAAAGGAGACAUUUGUGUGUGUGUGUGUGUGUGUGUGUGUGGACCAACAGUGGGAGAACAAUAAAUGCCUGUUUGCAUGGCUGAAGGUGACUGUGACAGUUUUAGCCUGAGGGCGUCGUUUUCCUGACGCGGAGUCUGCAGAAGGUUGAUGUGUGUACUUAUUGCUGCAAACACACAAACACAGUCCACAUAUCCGAUGCGUUCCCACGCUUAAUAGUUGAAAUAGUUGAGUGUGUUAAAUAAAUACAUGCUUUAUAUGUAGGUUAUUUAUACGGAGGCACAAUGACGCAACAACACGAAUGUGUUUAAAGCAUAAAGUCAAAUAGUGCGACACAGUGCGUGUGCUGCGCCUUAAGCAGUAAAUGACCUUCUGAGUUACCUUAGUCCUGCACUCGCACAGUCGCACUGGAGACGCACUUGCACACACAGGCCCGUGCACAUGUAUUGUGCACGCACACACACGUGGACACAUCUGUGUUGUGGCCCACUUUUGAGUUCAACACAUGGCGUCAUUUCUCUGCGAAGCGGCUGCGGCGCUGGAGCACAUCGCAGCAACUCUCACAGUGACUAACAAACGCACACGCAGACACACGCAGACACACAAAAACUGUUUUUAGACACAUGGACACUUACAUGAUAUGAUAAAACACGUACAACGUGUCCCUACUUCUUGCCUCAAAAAAUAAGCAUCAUUUGUGCACCAAUCAUAUACGUGUGUGUGUGUGUGUGUAAGUGUACGUGGUUUGUUGUCUUCAUGCACACAUCACACUGACUCUAUCGGCUGCAUCUAUUGAGCUGAAAGCUGAAUAAUUAUCUGCCUUUUCCUUCCUGCUUCCAUCUCUCAUCUCUGCUUUUUAUUUUGUUUUUGCCUUUUGUCUUUUGUCUGGCACAGACACACACACACGCACACACACACACACACACACACACACACACACACACACGGGAACACACAUAUCCGCUCUCUCCUUUAUAAUUAUUUCCACAACAAUGAUUGGGCCAGUUGAUUAAAAAGGGUCUUGUGGGAGCUGUUUCCUGGUUAAUGGCAUCUCCGUUCUACACAACGAGUUCACACAGCACAAAACAAUACACAAAACCAAACACACGGUAUGCACACGCACGCAAACAUGCAUGCGUGUGCAAAUACAAACUUUGCAUGCAAGGAAUACACAAAAGGCACAUGCAGACACACAAUCAUCGGCUGAGUCAUUUGAACACACAAUCCAUUAUCAGACAUAUUUUUAGCUGAAAUUGUGCAACUAAAUGCACCAACAAUCCUUCCAAAAGGGCAAAUCUUGAAUUUAUCCACAACAUCUCACAUAUUUUUCCAAAAGACCAGUUUUCAUUUUUUCAUUUUUAAUAUGUGGUUUAUUGCGGCUUGAAGGUCGUUGUGUUGACCUUCGUUCUCGCUGGUCGUGACAACGACGCACACGCAAGGUUGACUGCUGUUAACAGCUGUUAACUGUUUUCAUUUGCUGAGGGUUACAAACGGUGAUUAGUUGGAGACCCGGUGGAAUUCAUACAACACGAUAGGGAGAAAUUGGUUAUGGGUAUUGUUGCAUGUCUGAUCAUGUUAUAAAUAUGUUCCUCUUACCCUGAGUGAAAUUAAUCUACAUCCAUUUCAGAGGCUUCGCAAGAAAAGCUUUCAUUGUGUUUCAUUGUGAUCAAAUAGCAAACACACGUGGAGGUGCUUCAUGCGUGUGGCUGACAGAGUGAUGAUACAGUUCACGCUUUGAAUUUCUCAAAUACUGCGCUACGCCACGUCCCAAAGGUUGAGUCACGUGACUUGGACUCGUUUCUCUGUUCGUGCCCACCCAGUCCACACUUAAGCCCCCGAAUCCACCUCCCAGCAGCCUGCAGCUGCAGAGGGCAACCGGGAAGAACCGGCAUUACGUCUACGAGCACCAGCUGGAUCCGGCAAUCGAAGACAACGUUCACCUCUGCGAUGCUCAACAACAACAACAACAACAACAUCUGGAGGGAGAAUUUCCCAAAUGCAUUUACAUUCGGUAAAAAGGACAUUUUGACUUGUUUUGGGCUUAAGAAUCAACGUUUAGUGCUGCAGUUUAGGACUUGACCCUCCAAACAAGGGCCUGGCGCCUCUUCUGUUGUCUUCUAAGCAGACCUGCGGCAUUCAGCAGAUGAAGUGCCCUUUCACAAUAAGAGACUUGAGCGGUGUAUAUAUAUAUAUAUUCCUGGGCCGUCUCCUCACUGGUCUUAAAGCCGCCGUUGGCCCGGCGUGGGCUUCCUGUCGGAUUAAAUUGGCUUGCGAGAAGAGCUGACGGCUAAAAUAGACACACGGGUUGCCCCCCCCCACCCCCCCCACC